GGCGAAGUGGUGGAAUUGGCAGACACGCUUGACUCAAAAUCAAGUGCCUUCACAGGCGUGCGGGUUCGAGUCCCGCCUUCGCUA
rfam:Salimicrobium flavidum strain DSM 23127 genome assembly, contig: Ga0111645_105